UGGGGGAGGGGUAGCUCAGUCGGUAGAGCCUGAGACUUAAUCUCAGUGUUGUGGGUUCAAGCCCCAUGUUAGGAA